GACAGAGGUGCCGAGCGUUAGGCGGAAUCACUGGGCUUAAAGCGUGUGUAGGCGGGUCGUUAAGUGCCUUGUGAAAUCCCACAGCUCACCUGUGGAACUGCUUGGCAUACUGGCGAUCUUGAGCCACUUAGGGGCAACCGGAACAAACGGUGGAGCGGUGAAAUGCGUAGAUAUGUGGAGGAAUACCGAUGGCGAAGGCAGCCUCCUGGGCCAACACUGACGCUCAUGCACGAAAGCGUGGGGAGCAAACAGG
rnacentral:rRNA from 1 species